rnacentral:lncRNA from 1 species
AAAAAAUUAAACAAAAAAGGAUCUGGGACCCCCUGCUCUCUCUCUUGCUCCCUUUCUCAUUGUGUGACAUGUCUGUUCCCCUUUUGCCUUCUUCUAUGAGUGAAAGCUUCCUGUAGCCUCACUAGAAGCCGAACAGAUGCUGGUGCCACGUUUGUACAGCCUGCAGAACUAUUCCAAAGCUCUUGAGCUGCAUGAAGUCACUGGAACACAGUAGAGCUUCUGAACCUGUAGCUGGAGAUGAGUAUCACCAGCCAACAUCCUUGGCAGAGCUGUGAGCCAACAGCCAGCCCCAGCCUGCCAGCCGUGUGAGCAAGCAGUCUUGGAAGGUGAUUCUACAGCCCCAGCUGAAACACUCCAACUGAUGCCAUGUGAGCCGAGAAGAGCAGCCAAACUGAGCCCUUCUCAAAUCCCUGAUCCUCCAAAUCUCCUCCUGAAAAGCAUGCAGCCGGCAGAAGAUCUGGAUACCACAGAGACUGAGAUUCUACAUGUGUUCAGAGACCGGAGUCCCUACCACAGAACCUGUGACCUGUGCUUCUAGGGUCUUCAAAGUCAAUAAAAAUCAGCAGGUGAUUGAAGGAGAAGGA